rnacentral:rRNA from 1 species
UACGUAGGGUGCGAGCGUUGUCCGGAAUUAUUGGGCGUAAAGGGCUCGUAGGCGGUUUGUCACGUCGGGAGUGAAAACUCAGGGCUCAACCCUGAGCCUGCUUCCGAUACGGGCAGACUAGAGUGCGGUAGGGGAGAUCGGAAUUCCUGGUGUAGCGGUGAAAUGCGCAGAUAUCAGGAGGAACACCGGUGGCGAAGGCGGAUCUCUGGGCCGUAACUGACGCUGAGGAGCGAAAGCAUGGGGAGCGAACAGG